GCUAAUUGCAUAGACACUGGUUUUGAGGAGAAUGAGAUCAACCGGUUAUGGGCCUAAUGGCAUCAUUCAGCUUGCACAUGUGACUCUGAUUUCAGUAGAGACCAGGAAACAAAAGGACAGAUGCUAUUAGUUUUCACCAUUACUGGCGGAGAGGUGAAAGUGUGUGCUAUACAAAAUAAUGGGUAAACACUAAGAGAGCAUAUAAUACAUUCCCAGUUCACGUAUGUGUGUGCCAGGUACUCAUCUGCAUGCUUUAUAUAGUCCCACUUAAGCCCCAGAACACCCCUGUGAGGUAUUAUUAACUCUGUUUUACAGAUGAAGAAACAGGCACAGAAAGUUUUAGCAGCUUGCCCAGAACUAUAGCGGGUAAAUAAUACAGCAAAAUUUGAACCUCGGCACUUGAUUCAAAGUGUAUUCUCUUAACCACUGUGCAAGACUAUUACAUAAAAUACAUGCAGUAUAUCCACUGCCCACUAAAACAGACUCUCUCAUUCUUUCCUCUAAAAUUAGAUUUUUUUUCUCCAGGUGUUGGAUUUCAGAUUUUUAUUUUCACUGUUUCUGCACAAGAGAUACUAACUUCUGUCUUAAUUUUUUGCUUUACCGAAAGGCAUUUUUCUUAUCUAAAUUUGGUAUAAAGAUAAAAGGAUUUACAUAAAAUUUACAGUCAAAGUAUAUUAAAUAAGUAGUCAAAAGUCAUUAUAACAAAGACUUUUUUAACUUUUGUGAGACAAUUACUUAUACAACAUAUAGUGAUUAUUUACACUGUAGCCAAGGCACUUUACUAGCACUGGAGAAGAGAUGGAAAAGGUUUAAUUCCCAACCAGUAUUCAUCCAAGGAGCACACUUGGAUGAAUAAAGGCAAACGGAAGUAAGUAGUAUUAAAACAAGGUACAGGCCCAGUGUGAUGGCUCAAAUCUCUAAUCCCAACACUGGGAGGCUGAGGUGGGAGAAUCACUUGAGCCUAGGAGUUCAAGAUCAGCCUGAGUUACAUAGCAAGUCUCCUUCUCUACAAAAAAUGAAAUUAGCCAAGUAUAAUGGCACAUGCCUAUAGUCCCAGCUACUGGGGAGGGAGGCUGAGGCAAGAGAAUCACUUGAGCCCAAGAGUUUGAGGCUGCAAUGAGCUAUGAUUGUGACACUGCACUUUAGCCUAGGCAACAGAGUGAGCCUCUGUUUCCAAAAAAAAAAAGGUACAAGAGGUUGUGCCUAAUUCUGCUUUGUGUAGUAAGAUUUGUAAACCAGGUUGUUGAUAGAUGAAGAGAAAUUUACCAUAUGCAGUAAGAAAGCAAGGUAGGAACCUGUAGCCUAGACCAAGGCAUAUGCAAAUACUGCAUGUUCAAGAAAUAGUGACAUUGAAUUGAAUGAACCAGAGUUUCGGGUGCCUGAAGCAGAGUAAUAGGGCAGGAAGCUGCAUAAAAAGAUGGGCCUGGUUGUGAAGAGCCUCCUUAUGAGAGAAGCAGCUAGGAAUCAACAGUUUCAGAAACUGGAGAGCAAGUAUCAUGAAGAUAUAAAUGGGUUGAUGGAUUUGUACAUAAGGUGAUACUUGUAUACUUAAUGAGAAAUUUUUCUAUAGCAUGAUAGAUGGUGGAAAUUAUAUAGGAAUUGGAUAGAUGUGAAUUUUAUGAGUAUUUGACUUUAGUGGAAGUGUAUUUGGUCUCAAAAGAGGAAGGAGAUAAAGGUUUUUGUUUUGAUUUUGUUUGUUAAAGAUGGGAGAUUUCAGCAUGUAUCUAAGCAAAUGAAAGAAGUGGAAAAGAAAUGAGAUGGAUGAGAAAAGGAGAAGAGAGUCACCUGUUUAGGGAAGUAUGGAGAUGCUAAACCUGGCCAUGAUCACGGGGAGCAUUUUGCUAAUGCUGAAACAAACCUGAUGCUACAGGCUCGGCCCCGAGGUUAUACCCACCAAGAGGAAGUAUGUCCGGAAUUGGUGGGUUCUUGCAGUCACUGACUUCAAGAAUGAAGCCGCGGACCCUCGCGGUGAG
rnacentral:lncRNA from 10 species